rnacentral:rRNA from 1 species
GAUGAACGCUGGCGGCGUGCCUAAUACAUGCAAGUCGAGCGAACGGACGAGAAGCUUGCUUCUCUGAUGUUAGCGGCGGACGGGUGAGUAACACGUGGAUAACCUACCUAUAAGACUGGGAUAACUUCGGGAAACCGGAGCUAAUACCGGAUAAUAUUUUGAACCGCAUGGUUCAAAAGUGAAAGACGGUCUUGCUGUCACUUAUAGAUGGAUCCGCGCUGCAUUAGCUAGUUGGUAAGGUAACGGCUUACCAAGGCAACGAUGCAUAGCCGACCUGAGAGGGUGAUCGGCCACACUGGAACUGAGACACGGUCCAGACUCCUACGGGAGGCAGCAGUAGGGAAUCUUCCGCAAUGGGCGAAAGCCUGAGGGAGCAACGCCGCGUGAGUGAUGAAGGUCUUCGGAUCGUAAAACUCUGUUAUUAGGGAAGAACAUAUGUGUAAGUAACUGUGCACAUCUUGACGGUACCUAAUCAGAAAGCCACGGCUAACUACGUG